AAGAUGCUCCAGAGGCUCCAAAGGGGACAUCUCAAUGGACAAUCUUGGACUAGCCUGAGGAGAUUAUCAGAGGGAAAAAGUUUCCUUCAUGUCCCCUGUGUCACUUCAGACAAGAAUCUGC